rnacentral:lncRNA from 1 species
GUGAGGAGCUCCUACUCAAGCUUGAGCAGGUUGAAGAGUUGAAUAUGAUGUGGGAGAUGAUGGUAAUGACUCAUAUAAAGGCAAGUGACAGCAAAAGAAAAUAUUAAAUCAUUAUCUCAUUUGAUCCUUAUAAUUAUCUUGAGAGAUUGAUGGCACAAGUUUUAAUGCCUUUAUUUUAUAGAUGAAGAAACUGAGGCUUAAUAAUGUUAAAUGACUAUCCUAUCAUCACACAAAAAUAAGAACAAAAAGUGGAAUUUGAACCAGCCUCCUUAGCUCCAGGUACAGAAAACUAGUCUUAAAAUUAAGAAUGAAAGUUAUAUCACAGCUUCAGGGGUUGGUAGAAUAGAAGAAAA